CGAAGCAGGCUCAGGAAAUGGCUCCGUAUCUAACAGCUCCUCCUCGCCCCGGAAGUUCGGAAUGGCCGGUGAACUCAAUUCGCUGGCAAUGAA
rnacentral:lncRNA from 1 species